CAGUAGCCGCGGUAAUACGUAGGGUGCAAGCGUUAAUCGGAAUUACUGGGCGUAAAGCGUGCGCAGGCGGUUAUGUAAGACAGUUGUGAAAUCCCCGGGCUCAACCUGGGAACUGCAUCUGUGACUGCAUAGCUAGAGUACGGUAGAGGGGGAUGGAAUUCCGCGUGUAGCAGUGAAAUGCGUAGAUAUGCGGAGGAACACCGAUGGCGAAGGCAAUCCCCUGGACCUGUACUGACGCUCAUGCACGAAAGCGUGGGGAGCAAACAGGAUUAGAUACCCCCGUAGUCCCUGUCUCUUAUAA
rnacentral:rRNA from 1 species